GCUAAUGUAGCUUAAUGGUAGAGCAAUGGUUUUGUAAUCCAUAGGUUAGGGGUUCAAAUCCCUUCAUUAGCU
rnacentral:tRNA from 1 species